AAAGAGACUUGGAGGCAUCGGCAACGAUACGCUGUACAUUAGGAUGGGAGGGUUGGACGAAAUAGACAGCUGGAACAUCGUGGACCGGUUGGCGAUCCUUGUCAAUGAGGAAGUAGAGGGUGACGCCGUGUUUGCGGAGGUCCUUGACGUGAAUCAAAGGGGAUAAAAUGUCUUGGCAAAAGCGAUCGUAAAUCAAGAUCUUGUAUACCUCCUCGUUCGCCGUGCAAUAGACAGCUGGAACAUCGUGGACCGGUUUGCGAUCCUUGUCAAUGAGGAAGUAGAGGGUGACGCCGUGUUUGCGGAGGUCCUUGACGUGAAUCAAAGGGGAUAAAAUGUCUUGGCAAAAGCGAUCAUAAAUCAGGAUCUUAUAUACCUCCUCAUUCGCUGUGCCACCCGCAUUCACGGGUUGGUUCAGAUUUAACAUCCGCGUAAUGCACUC
rnacentral:lncRNA from 1 species